rnacentral:rRNA from 1 species
UACAGAGGUCCCAAGCGUUGUUCGGAUUCAUUGGGCGUAAAGGGUGCGUAGGUGGCGCCGUAAGUCAGGUGUGAAAUUUCGGAGCUUAACUCCGAAACUGCAUUUGAUACUGCGGUGCCUGAGGACUGGAGAGGAGACUGGAAUUUACGGUGUAGCAGUGAAAUGCGUAGAGAUCGUAAGGAAGACCAGUGGCGAAGGCGGGUCUCUGGACAGUUCCUGACACUGAGGCACGAAGGCCAGGGGAGCAAACGGG